GCCGGCCCGACAUCUCUGUCCCGGGAGCCGCGAGCAGGCGCGGCCCAGGCCCGGGCGGGCCGGGGGCGGGGGCGCCGCCGAGGACUGCGGGGAAAAUAAAAAUGGAGCAGGGAAAUGCGCGAGUCCUGGGGCAUGGGGAUGGGGACGGGAAGUGCAUUGACAGAGCCUAGACAAAGGAAAAAUCCUCGAGUAUGCCGAAAAAUAACAUCUUUUCCUGUUCCCAUUGCCCGGCUGUGUGUGAUUGAUGCUUUUUGGGUGACUCAAAAGUGACUGGUUUCACUUAGUGGAAACAAAGCGCUUGGGGAUUGGAUGCCGUUUGACGGGACCCCUCUCAGAGACUUGCUUGGGACGGGACUUGGACUUGUCCAGCCAUAGUGGCCUCAGGGGGCGGAUUGUUGGGGGAGACUUUGGGCUUCCGUCUAGUGGGACCCAGCCUGCCCCUAUUCGGAAUCAUCAUCACCGUCGAGGACUAGAUAGAGGCGAAGGGUGUCCGAGUCUGGCGAGGAGGGUCUUGGUCUUGAACUCAGGCUGGGAGGCUGUAGUUGAGGGGAGAGCUGGGACCAGUUCCCUGGUCACUGGCCGAGGGGUGAGGAGACCUGUGGGUCCUCGGGAAAGUUGGUUUCUGUCUCCAGCCUUCUCUGUCAAACAGGGCUUUGAACUAAUUGUAGCUCCCAAACCUGCAUUACAGUCAUAACCAUUAAACAGUGUUCUGGCCCCACCCCCCACCCUUGAGUGAUUUGAGAGAUGGGGAAUUUGUAUUGCCAAAAGGCCCCAAGAGGCUUGGCUGCAAUCCUCAUGGCCCUCGGGAACCCCUGCAGUGAUUGCUUUUUGAAUUAGAGUUCCAGGAUUCUGAGCCCUUGUGUGCGCCUCCUUGGGAUGUGCCUGGGUGCCCUCCCCACAGCCAUCUUCUCCAUCCUCUUCAGAGCUUUCAGCCUCUUGAGUGAGGGCAGGGGAGCUCCCUUCACAUUCCAGUCCAGAGUGAUCUGGUUGUAGUCACUCCUGUCGCAGAAGAACCCCUUAGACCGAAAACGUUGCUUUGAAGUGAACGGGCCCGGUUGUUUUUAAUGCCACUUCAGUGCACCCAGAGUUUGACUUGUUUACAUGGCCAACUGGAGUAGGGUGGUGGGGCAGGGGUUAUGGCCUGGGGCGUGGGGCCUUUCUCUGAGGUCAGGUUUCCAACCGCCAGGAAAAGGAUUAUUUUCAUCUAAACCCAGAAGCUUAAGGAAACACUCAAGGCUGCAAAGUCAUAGAUGGUUAAGAUACCAAGGGUUUUAGGGAAGGUCUACUUGGGACGGGUAGAACUCAGUUACUCAGUUACCUCGGUGUUCUGGAGUGUAAAGGAGACCUUGACUCAUCUCAUUUGGAUGCUUUUUUGGGGGGAAACAGUUUAUGUGAUGAGGAGGAGUUGGGAGACUUUGCUUCAAGUGUUGGGCUGUCACUUUCACCCGUGUGACCUUGAACAAAUCCCUUUACCUCUAUUUAAAUUUCCUUAUCUGUAAAUUGGGAAUCCAGGUCCCUGGCUUACCUCCUUCACUGACCAUUUAUGAAAAGCAGGAAAUGAUAUUUUAUUAUUUUUCCCUUACAGUUUAACAAACCAAAAUAUCCUGCCACUUUUAGAAAUUUCUGGUCAAGGGUUGUUCUGACAGAGGUUUCUAAGUUUCCUGGUUAUUCUAAGCAAUUGUCAAAAUUGGUAACUGUACACCUCACAGGGGCUGUUUGUGGAUUCUUAAGCUUAGAUAAACUAGAAUGGAAUCUGCAUGUUUGAGUACAAUCUGCUAAGUUUUUUUUUUAAAUCUGUUGAUUAUUAAUUGGAUUUACUGGGGGAGGCAAACUUAAAAUACUGUACUCUCACUGUGUUCAAAGUUGAAUUGCGGGUUUUGAAACAGGCCUGAGACCUUCAGGGCACAACUGGAAUGGUAGUUUCUGAAAUAAUGAGUGGGGUUAUUUGUGCUGGGAGAGAUUAGCCCAGCCUUCUACCUCCUGGAAUCUUUCAGGAAGAAACUGCUCUUGAAAAGAGAGGAGGGAGACUCAGGGCUGUUGCCAACAGCCUUCUUUGCUGCUCUCUGCAUCCGGCCCUCCCCCAGCUUCUCACUCUCAUCCUUAUGGCUCCAUUAGAAAACCUCAACCAAUCGGUUCCCAUCAGUCUCCCCCAAGCCCCUGCUUCCUGCCCCUCCCAGCCUUGAGCUUAUUUUAGAUGGUCAAAGCUGGAAGAUACAUCAGCCACCAUUGAGGCCACCCUUGUUUAAGGGGAGAGGAUACUGGGCCCAGGGAGGUGAUGAGCGGCCUUGGCUGGCUUUUGCUCUUGAGAUGUCAUCUUCCCAGGAGCAGGCAUUUCUCUGAGCUUUCUGGUUUGAGCUUUAUUUCCUCAGCUGUGGGUUUUGUUUGUUUGUUUUUCCUCUAGAGAGGCACAGAAACCUCUUGCAGGGACUGUGUCAUGUCAUGGAAGCACUGUGGCUCUUGCGUGUGGCCGUGUGCUGCUGUCUGAGUGCCAGCUUUCCCACGCCCUGCCUCUUUUCCUUGGUGGCAUAGUGUACACAGUGGUAUAACUGGAGACUUUGACUCAAGAGAAAGGAGAAAUACAAGUUGGAUUCAGCCAUGUGAGGGUACAGCCCUGGCUCAUGUCUCCUUGCUCCUCAGAGUGCUGAUCAUACAUCACUGCUGGAUGCUGACCAGUAUCGUCCUAAUGACCUGGGAGCUCCGAGUGUGGGAGGCAGAGGUGCAGCCUGGCUCGCCCAGGUCUUGGCUGGGAGGGCAAGCACCUUCCAGCAGCACUCAGAGCUGUUAGGGAGCAGUUACCUUUUCAGCUGGGUGUGAGUGACUAAUAAGUGAUGUACCCGUUGACUCAUUCACAUGUUUUACUUAUUUGGUCAUUGGAGCCCAGCUUUGUAUUUGGUGCUUUGCUGGAUGAGGCUGGAUUCUUGUCCCCAGCGAUUAGAUGUGGUGUUGUGAGAGGGAACGACACAUUUGGCCUGGGGCCGGUUAGCGUUCUUGAAGAAGGUGUGGGAUUUUGAGGGGGCUGUGUAUGGGACAGUCAGUCACCUUAUUCCAUGGAAUAGAAGAUGUUUGUGUAUGCGAGGUGAGGGCAUGGGACCCUAGUGGGGUGGCAGGAUGUGAUGAGAUAAGAAGGGGGAGACCCACCUGUCUACAUUGACUGAGGGCUGCCCUGUUCGGUGCCAGAUUGCGCAAUGUGUCUGACCACCUUUCUCCCCGUCCACUGCUGUCUGAGGGCAGUUGAGUCCAAGUGGACAGGAAACCCGAGCUAACCACCUGUUAGAGAUCCUGUCACCGACUGUUCCUCCUCUUGGAGCCACAUACAGGCCACAUGGAGUUAGAGCCAAGCAUGUAAUGUGGGCUGGUUGUUAUGGGGUGGCUGUGUCCAGAGGACAUCUGGGAAGUGUCAACAUUGGCAGCUUGAUAACACCCAGAAGAGCAUGCUGGGAUGUUUCUCCGUCCUUUGCCCCUGGCCACCCAUUUGGGGCAGUUGGACAACUCAGAGUUGAGACAGUUGGGCUCUUCCUGACAUGCAUCCCAGAUCUGGCUGGGAAGGGUGGUGAAGGGAAAGUGCAAAAGAACUCCUGAGAGAGGAAAUGUCUGUGGCCUCCAGGGAAGCAGCUGGAGAGGCCAGCAGAGCAUACAUGGUACAGCUCAAGGCCAUGGCAGGCCGGUGCCCUGGAGGAGACCCAUGGCCAUCCAACUUAGACCCCUGAGGACUGACUACAGAGGCCACAGUGGUAGCUGGGUUUUGUUUUUCCUUUUUUACUAAACUUCUUAUGUUGCAAUAAUUGUGUUUCCCCUGUGGUUAUAGGAAAUAACAAAAAUCCCAUGUACUCCUUUGCCCAGGUCCUCCAAUGGUGACCUGCAACACUGUGGUAGGGCACCACAGCUGGGAUACUGGCUACAAUGCACAGAGUACCCAGCGUCUCCAUCGCCUUCUCCCUCCCACAUCACCCCAGCCCCAGCCACCCAGGAAUUCUUCUCAAUUUCCAUAAAUUGGACAUUUCCAAAAAUCUUAUGUGAAGAGAAUCAUACAACCUAGAACCUCUGAGAUUGGCUUUUUUCAUUCAGAAUUCUCUGGUGAGUCAUCCAGGUCGUUGCUUGGAUCAGUAGUUGGCUCCUUUUUAUUGUUGACUCGCAUUCCAUGAUACAAGGGACACCUAGGCUGUUUCCAAUUUGGGGCUAUUAUGAACAAAGUUGCUAUAACCAUUCACAUGCAGUUUUUGUGUGAGUGCAUUCUCUGAAAUAAAUAUCCAGGCGUGCAGUUCCUAGGUUGUAUGGUAGUUGCAUGUUUAGUUUUUUAAGAAACUGCCAAACUGAUUCCCACCAGCAGUGUAUGAGUGAUAUGAGUGAUGUACUUACCUUGUGACCUUGCCAGCAUUUGGUGUUGUCACCAUUUGUUUUUUUAGCCAUCUGAUAGGAGCAUAGUAACAUCUCGUGUGGUUUUAAUUUGCUUUUCCCCUAUAGCUUUGGUGUUGAACACCUUUUUAUGCUAUUUAUCUUCUGUGGAAAGUCUUCUCGUGUCUUCUCUCCAUAUUCUAAUUGGAUUGUUUUGUGUUUUUACAGUUGAGUUUUGAGGGUCUUUAUAUAGUCUAAAUACUAGUAUACAGUCUAGAUACUAGUCCUUUGUCAGAUACGUCGUUUGCAAAGUAUUUUAUCCUACUUGGUGGCUGAUCUUUUCGUCUUCCUUAGCAGGACUUUGUGCAGAGCAAAAGUUUUAAAUUUUAAUGAAGUCCAAUUUAUCAAUUUAGAUUUGUUCCAUUUUGUGUCUUUUUUUUUUUUGUAUAACAUUACUUUUUGUAUCAGCUUGAAGCAUUUUUUGUUUUUUUGCCUAUGGACAAACUGUCACUCUAGCACCAUUUGUUGAAAGGCCGUUUUUCCUCCAUCGAAUUCCUUCUGCACUUUUGUCAAAAUUGGGCAUACUGUGUUGGUUUAUUGCUAGCCUCUGUUCCGUUGAUCCAUGUGUCUGAGUUUCCACUAAUACCACACAGUCUUCAUUACUGUGGAUAUAUAAUAAGUCUUAUAAUUUAGUAAAUAGAUUAUAUCCUCUUCAUUCCUUUUUAAUUAAAAAUAUUCUAGUUCAUUUGCCUUUCCUUGUAAAUUAUAGAAUAAUCUUAUCCAUAUCUAUAAAAAAUCUUGCUGGGAUUUUGAUAGGAAUUGUAUUAAACUGAAUAUCAGUUGGGUGAGAAUUGACAUCUUACAAUCUUCCAGUGCAUAAACACAUUAUGUCUCUCCAUUUAUUUAGAUCUUCUUUGAUUUCUCUAAUCAGUGUUGCGUAGUGUGCAGCAGUUCCUGUACAUGUUGUGUGAUAUUUCUUUUUUUUAAUUUUAAGCAAUUGUAAGUGACAUUGUAUUUUAAUUUCAGUGUCCGUGUGUCCAUUGCUAGCAUAUA